rnacentral:rRNA from 1 species
CCUACGGGGUGCAGCAGUGAGGAAUAUUGGUCAAUGGUCGGGAGACUGAACCAGCCAAGCCGCGUGAGGGAUGAAGGUACAGAGUAUCGUAAACCUCUUUUGUCAGGGAACAAAGGCGGGGACGUGUCCCCGGAUGAGUGUACCUGAAGAAAAAGCAUCGGCUAACUCCGUGCCAGCAGCCGCGGUAAUACGGAGGAUGCGAGCGUUAUCCGGAUUUAUUGGGUUUAACGGGUGCGCAGGCGGUCUGUUAAGUCAGCGGUAAAAGCCCGGGGCUCAACCCCGGCCCGCCGUUGAAACUGGCAGUCUCGAGUUGGAGAGAAGUAUGCGGAAUGCGCGGUGUAGCGGUGAAAUGCAUAGAUAUCGCGCAGAACUCCGAUUGCGAAGGCAGCAUGCCGGCUCCACACUGACGCUGAGGCACGAAAGCGUGGGUAUCGAACAGGAUUAGAUACCCGAGUAGUC